rnacentral:rRNA from 1 species
CGUCUCAGUUCAGAUUGCAGGCUGCAACUCGCCUGCAUGAAGUCGGAAUUGCUAGUAAUCGCGGAUCAGCAAGCCGCGGUGAAUACGUUCCCGGGCCUUGUACACACCGCCCGUCACACCAUGAGAGUCGGGAACACCCGAAGUCCGUAGUCUAACCGCAAGGGGGGCGCGGCCGAAGGUGGGUCCGGUAAUUGGGGUGAAGUCGUAACAAGGUAUC